CUCCAGGGUGGAGGCAUUGCAGUGAAUGAGUGACUGAGUGGAAUGGGGUGAAUGAGUGGAAUGAGUGACUGAGUGGAAUGAGGUGAAUGAGUGGAAUGAGGUGAAAGGGUGAAAAGGAAAAAAAAGUGAAAGGGGUUCACGGAUCCAUCUCAAUGAGACUUUGAACGACUCUGAUCUGAAGACUUGGACCUGUUCUGGAGACUUGAGUUGGUGCUGGUCUUGUUGGACGGUUCGGACUAGUUCCCUUGAGCCGGCCAGACCAUGGCGAGACUCGGUUUCCCCCAAUGGUGAGACUCGGUUACACUACAAUGGUCAAGACAAAUCUGAUCUGGACAGAACAUAAUUACACUCGAAUUGCCCUCUAAUUGCCCCGAAUUCACUCGAAUUCAUUCCAAUUGCAGUCGAACUCACUCGAACUCACCCGAACUGCACUCGAACUUGUUCUGCCAUCUCUGCUUCGGGUGUCUACACUAGAUCUUGCAUCAGGAAAAGUUUGCCAGACGAUGCAGUCGUUUCUAGAGGCGAACCGCGGUUAGAGACAAACGAAACUUGGAGAGACAGGGAGGGGUUAGAAACAGAACUGAUACUGGUACUCGCACGGUACUUGUACGGUACUUGUACUGCUGUCAAAAGGUAUCCACUUGGGUCACAUAAAGUUGGGCUGCAAAUGUGCCGGAGAAGUGGAUCCUCUUUUGGGAGCAAGUGGACACUUGGGGUCGGAGACCACGGAAUUCUGGAGACAUGGGAUUUGGAUAUCGAUGUUUCUAUUUCCAUGCAGUUUCGGGAGGCAGGAAGUGGUUUGUUGAGGCGUUGAACUUGUCUCAAUAGACCUAAGUUUAGUUGAAAGCUAGUCGAGCCGAAACAGAGAGGCCGGUUUCAAUCUUGCUGCGAGUACCGGUAGUAGAAACUGAAGUGGAACACAACCUCUACGACUAAGACAGAAAGUGUCCGUCAAGACUGUCUCAACCUCAUUUCCGACUCUGAACUAUCCCCAGAGAACCUGACGACUUGUAUGUACUUGUAGGUAUUACUUGUACGUCCAUUCGGCACUCAGCACGCGACCGCAAAGUCUGUGCCACGGUCAGACAGUAGACUCACGUCUUGGUUAAAGUCGUGUCACCCACUUACCGACUUUUCCGCUGCAAAUCUCUACUGAAAAUUCGCUGGCUGCACCACCUCUGAUGUUCUGGCAAAUACUUCGACUUUUCAACAUCCAACCAAAGAAAGACGCGGUUCUUCACAUUGUUGAGAGACAAAGCGACAAGCGACAAUUCGACUUUCCAUUCCAACUCCAACUUCAACUCAACUUUUUCUACCGAACGACCUUCCUCUUCUCUCUCACCAUUGUCCACUGUGCCCAUUGAUGGAUGUAGGGUCGUAGAAGCGGUAGUAGCUGAUGAAAUCCUCCAUGGUCCGUGCAGCCAACGCCCAACGCUUCAUUCUUCCAGUGUAGUAGUCCAAUGAACAUCCGGCCAACCACGUCCAUCCAAUACCAGACUGUCCAACACCAGCCCCCUAAAGUCUCGAGCCCCGUAUACGGACACGUUCGUAUUACUGACUACAGUGCCCGAUGGCUGCCUAGUCCACAUUUUAAAAACGCCGUUUACAAGCCACAACGGCGAAAAACCGGUUCGAAACCGGUUCGAAACCGUACGGCACUCAUCCUUUAUCUAACUCCACACAACAGGCAACCAUGCAACCCUGGGUAAGCACACUACGACUCCCCGGUACGAGUACGAGCACGGAGACUGUGUGGCGGCCCAAUCCUCUGCCAAAUAGACAGAGUUAAUCUCCGAUAUUUCGCCCCAUGCCUGGCCAAUGUCAUACGACAUUCAUAGAUCUACACCGGUUGCACGAAAAGAAAUGCUGGGGAUCCAAAGCUUGACAGACAUGACUGACCAACGGGCCAACAGCUGAGCGUAACAUGUUGAAUGGAACAACCAGAGCGGACUAUACUGAGCGGCCAUUUGCAGUUUGCAGUUUGCAGUUUGCAGUUUGCAGUUUGCAGUUCGCAGUUCGUACCUGAACUUGUUCCCCCGUCCUUUUCCGGAUUUAUCAACAUGGUCACGUAUCUAUUUCAGACCUUUCCAUCGCCGGAUAGAUUGAUUU
rnacentral:misc_RNA from 1 species